rnacentral:rRNA from 1 species
UAAUGACGGUACCCCAGGAAUAAGCCCCGGCUAACUACGUGCCAGCAGCCGCGGUAAUACGUAGGAUGCAAGCGUUAUCCGGAUUUAUUGGGCGUAAAGAGCGYGUAGGCGGYYUUUUAAGUCGGAUGUGAAAUCUCCCGGCUCAACUGGGAGAGUYCAUUCGAUACUGUUGGGCUUGAGURCAGGAGAGGGAAGUGGAAUUCCCGGUGUAGYGGUGAAAUGCGUAGAUAUCGGGAGGAACACCAGUGGCGAAGGCGGCUUYCUGGGCUGAUACUGACGCUGAGGCGCGAAAGCUGUGGGGAGCAAACAGGAUUAG